rnacentral:misc_RNA from 1 species
GCUUGUCCACUGUAAAUCUGAUUUGAAAUAUUCAGAAAAGUGUCGUUUUCUUUGACUGUGUAGUAAGCAUCAUAGAAGUAUCCUGUGGUGCCAUUGACAGUUUCACAAGAGCAAGGUACUGUUACCAGAUAGUCUUGUAUAUUUCUGUGCAGAAUGGGACUGAUCUGUGUGGAAUUGACAGAGUAAAAAGAAGCAAUUUGCUCCAUCUGCAGACGUUUGUUGAUAUGGUACAGUGAGGCAUUACACUUCUUG